AUCAACCAUGCAUCCAUAAUGUUCGAUUUCAGGACGGAUAGAGAAGUCAAAUACCAUACUCUCAAAUAUCUUACGUCCUUCUUCAAUUAGCCCUGCAUGAGUGCAGGCACUUAAAACACUAAUAAAUGUAACACCAUUUGGCUUUAUUUUCUCCUCCUUCAUCUUGUGAAACAUUGUCAGUGCUUCUUCUGCAUAUCCGUGUGCUGCAAGCCCUUCAAUCACUGAAUUCCAACAAAACAAGUUCUUCUCUCGCAACUUGAAGAACACCAAGAGGGACCUAUCUAAGCUCCCACAUUUGGCGUACAUAUCAAUCAAUGCAGACCCUAUAUAAACAUCAAGGUGAAAUCCAUUCUGCAUUACAUAAAGAUGUAUUUCUUUCCCCAAGUCA
rnacentral:misc_RNA from 1 species